GUGACGUCAUGGCAGUCGGUAGGCGGAGCUACUCGAUGCGCAAUAGCACACCAUUAUAUUUACACCAUGGGUGAGACGGAGUAUAGAGAUUCUAUUCUCGCCGUCUCCAGUUAUGGAGGACUACGCUCUCUAGUUUCCCAGAACAAUUUGCCACAACAGGAAUUGGAAUCGAGCCCAUGGUAUUGGUUAGUGGACCGACUCUGAUGGCGGAAUGCUAAUGCAGUUUGGCAGACUAUCACCCAAUAGACAUAUGUCUAUCUCCUCCUCUAUAAAAAAUAUUAAUUAGGUUAGGUUAGUCUCAGUUAAGCUCCAUACCACACUCGGGAAAUUCUUUACCUAGGGCGGCCACUGUUUCAGUCCGUCACUGGCUAGCCAACAUCUGUGAUGGAGUCAAUCGAAAGACUGAAGAAUUGGAGAUGUGGGAUCCGGCAUUGUAUCCGUACCUCCACAGUAUUAAGCCGAUGCUUUACCAGGCGAUUAUCCGGCCGACCCAUAUUAUCAGUAUUAUAUAUUUAGUAUUUUAACUGUACCACUCCCAAAAAAUAAAACACAAAAUAAAUGUCGCCAUCAGGCGCACCAAAUGUCUGAAGUGUUGACAACGAUAAGUCAUUGAAUGUUUUUCAUUAUAAGAUAUAUAGAGCCUCGAUGUUUUCACGCUUUGGACGUUGAAAAAAUCGUACAUUUCCAGACUUUUGGCUGGAACGUUAAUGGCCAAAGGAUUAUUUAUAUUUGGAAUUAAACCGGAUACGAAUAAAUUUAUCAUUUUGAUGCCAUUUUGUUUUAAAAUUUGGCAGAUAUCGCGUGUAGGCAAAGAUUUCAGUCUCGUUCCAAGGCUAGCUUUUUUUUCUUUGUUUUUUUUUGACGCCACUUUCCAUUCAAUUAGAAUACUAGUGACGGGGCGAAACAAGCCCUUCCACAGGCUGCCC
rnacentral:lncRNA from 1 species